rnacentral:rRNA from 1 species
GACGAACGCUGGCGGCGUGCUUAACACAUGCAAGUCGAACGGAAAGGCCCUGCUUUUGUGGGGUGCUCGAGUGGCGAACGGGUGAGUAACACGUGAGUAACCUGCCCUUGACUUUGGGAUAACUUCAGGAAACUGGGGCUAAUACCGGAUAGGAGCUCCUGCUGCAUGGUGGGGGUUGGAAAGUUUCGGCGGUUGGGGCUGGACUCGCGGCUUAUCAGCUUGUUGGUGGGGUAGUGGCUUACCAAGGGUUUGACGGGUAGCCGGCCUGAGAGGGUGACCGGCCACAUUGGGACUGAGAUACGGCCCAGACUCCUACGGGAGGCAGCAGUGGGAAAUAUUGCACAAUGGGCGGAAGCCUGAUGCAGCAACGCCGCGUGCGGGAUGACGGCCUUCGGGUUAUAAACCGCUUUCGCCUGUGACGAAGCGUGAGUGACGGUAAUGAGUAAAGAAGCACCGGCUAACUACGUG